GUGCCAGCAGCCGCGGUAACACCGGCAGUUCGAGUGAUGGCCGAUUUUAUUGGGCCUAAAGCGUCCGUAGCCUGCCGUACGGGUCCGUCGGGAAAUCCGCCCGCUUAACGGGCGGACGUCCGGCGGAAACCAUACGGCUUGGGACCAGAGGACCCGAGGGGUACGUCGGGGGUAGGAGUGAAAUCCCGAGAUCCUCGACGGACCGCCGGUGGCGAAAGCGCCUCGGGAAGACGGACCCGACAGUGAGGGACGAAAGCUGGGAUCUCGAACCGGAUUAGAAACCCGUGUAGUCC
rnacentral:rRNA from 1 species